UACGAAGGGGGCGAGCGUUGUUCGGAUUUACUGGGCGUAAAGGGCGCGUAGGCGGCCCUCCUUGUCGCGUGUGAAAGCCCCGGGCUCAACCUGGGAAUUGCGCGCGAAACGGGGGGGCUUGAGUUCGGGAGAGGAGCGUGGAAUUCCCAGUGUAGAGGUGAAAUUCGUAGAUAUCGGGAGGAACACCGGUGGCGAAGGCGGCGACCUGGGUAGAUACUGACGCUGAGGUGCGAAAGCGUGGGGAGCAAACAGG
rnacentral:rRNA from 1 species